rnacentral:lncRNA from 1 species
AGCGUCCACAAAAGACCCCGGACGUGUUAGGAUUGAAAAUAAGGGGGAAAAAGAGGAAAAAAAAAAAAAAGCCCCCCCGCUCGGCUCCUAAACCUGGCAGGGCGGGAGGAGGAGGCGUUUGCUGGAGACGUCACCCCCCCUCCUAAAAGCAGCCCCCCGGCAGGCCGCAGAUCCGCGCCGUUACUCCCCAGCAGGAAGGCGAAAAGAGGCCGAAAACGGGAAAAGUGUCACGAAAAUGGCAGCAAAAAGCUGGGUGAGGGGGGGGGGGAUAAAAGCGAGGUGACAACAAAACCCUUGAGGCGAGCGGCCCCCGCGCACAUUCCUUCGGACGCCCCCCUCUCCUUCGGGGCAGCCCCGAAUUUCGGGUGGGCUUCCGAGCGGGAUUUGGGAUUUGCUUUCAGAGCUGGGGGGCCUGGCGAGCCGGCCAAAAAAAAAAAGAAAAAAAGAGGCCGGGGAGGGAAGGGAAGGAGGGAGGGAAGGGGGGGAGCCGAGCAGGCAUCUGCCCCACGCGCAACUUCCCAAGUUUGUCGGCCGCGGGACGCCGGCCCCCCUAAACCCUCUGUCACCGGGGGGGUUUGGGUGCGAUGGGGGGAGCCGGGCUCUGGGGAGAGCCUCCCUCGGGUUCCUUUCGUCAGGAAGCGAGGGGAAAGCAGCCGGGGCCUGGGGGGGGGCAUUUCGGGGCUCGACACCUACCAGCGCGCGGCCCCCGGCGCCUCUGGAAAUAGAGAGGGGGAGAGGAGAGGCUUCGGAAAAAGCCGCCGGCGCGGAAAAGCUGCUCUUUGUCUCCCAAAACGUCCGCGGCGGUGGCUGCCAAACGAACAAACAACGACAAAAAAUAAUAAUAAUAAAGAGAGAAAAAAAAAAGAGAGCAGGGGGAGGGGAAAAGGAGAGCGGCGGCAGCUCAGGUUGGGCCUCGGCCCCUCUCCAGCCCAGACCUCUCCUGGCGCUGGCCCUACGCAAGAUUAUUUUUGUGCCCCCCCCAAAAUAAAAACCAAAAAACCCCCAACCAGCCGGAAUCGCCGGCCCUCCUCCCGGCGCAAUCGAGGCCGCGAUUCGCCUUCGCCCUGUGCGCGUGUGUAACUUUAAACCCCCGGAUAAAAAUAGCUCAGAUUCAACCAUGAUCGCCAGUCAU